rnacentral:rRNA from 1 species
GGUUGCAAUCGUCUAAUUAUUUAUUAUGACAACAUGGAAGUAAUUAAUACAAUGAAGAACGGAGGUUAUUCUGCAGGAGCGGCAGCUGCAAUUUUUUAGGAUUGCUUUUUUAUGGCUUGUGAAUUUCCUCUUACUAGUUUUCAGCAUUGUAAUUGAGAAGCGAACAAAGUAGCCUAUGAGCUUGCUAGAUUAGCAAAAUGAUCCAUGAUUAGAGAUUGGAUUGAGGAGCCCAUGGAAAAAAUUAUAUCUCUCUUUAUAGACGAUGUAACCAUUAUCUCUAAUUAA